UGGUCUUGACAUCCCGAGAAUUUUCUGGAAACAGAGAAGUGCCUACGCUAAGAGGAAUUCGGAGACAGGUGGUGCAUGGUUGUCGUCAGCUCGUGUCGUGAGAUGUUGGGUUAAGUCCCGCAACGAGCGCAACCCUUAUUGCUAGUUACCAUCAUUAAGUUGGGGACUCUAGCGAGACUGCCAGUGAUAAACUGGAGGAAGGUGGGAUGACGUCAAGUCAUCAUGGCCCUUAUGUCCAGGGCGACACACGUGCUACAAUGGCCGGCACAGCGGGAAGCGAGGGGGCGACCUUGAGCGGAUCCCUCAAAGCCGGUACUCAGUUCGGAUUGCAGUCUGCAACUCGACUGCAUGAAGUUGGAAUCGCUAGUAAUCGUGGAUCAGCCAAGCCGCGGUGAAUACGUUCCCGGGCCUU
rnacentral:rRNA from 1 species